UUAGAGUUUGAUCCUGGGUCAGGAUGAACGCUAGCUACAGGCUUAACACAUGCAAGUCGAGGGGCAGCGGGAUUGAAGCUUGCUUCAAUUGCCGGCGACCGGCGCACGGGUGAGUAACACGUAUCCAACCUUCCGUUUACUCGGGGAUAGCCUUUCGAAAGAAAGAUUAAUACCCGAUAGUAUGGUGAGAUUGCAUGAUAACACCAUUAAAGAUUUAUUGGUAAACGAUGGGGAUGCGUUCCAUUAGGUAGUAGGCGGGGUAACGGCCCACCUAGCCUACGAUGGAUAGGGGUUCUGAGAGGAAGGUCCCCCACAUUGGAACUGAGACACGGUCCAAACUCCUACGGGAGGCAGCAGUGAGGAAUAUUGGUCAAUGGGCGAGAGCCUGAACCAGCCAAGUAGCGUGAAGGAUGAAGGUCCUACGGAUUGUAAACUUCUUUUAUAAGGGAAUAAAACGCUCCACGUGUGGAGCCUUGUAUGUACCUUAUGAAUAAGCAUCGGCUAACUCCGUGCCAGCAGCCGCGGUAAUACGGAGGAUGCGAGCGUUAUCCGGAUUUAUUGGGUUUAAAGGGAGCGCAGACGGGAUGUUAAGUCAGCUGUGAAAGUUUGCGGCUCAACCGUAAAAUUGCAGUUGAUACUGGCGUUCUUGAGUGCAGUUGAGGUGUGCGGAAUUCGUGGUGUAGCGGUGAAAUGCUUAGAUAUCACGAAGAACUCCGAUUGCGAAGGCAGCUCACUAAACUGUAACUGACGUUCAUGCUCGAAAGUGUGGGUAUCAAACAGG
rnacentral:rRNA from 1 species